AUCCCAUUUAGUGGAUACACCAAUCAUUUUUAAUACAUUAUCAAGAGCAUGGACUGCGAGGUAGUAGAGCUGGGUGAAAAGCUCACAUGAGGUCCCAUUGCAAUAUUUUACACACCUCUAAUAUACCUGUAACCUAAGGAGAUCAACGCAGUAUUAUUAUGUAGAACUGUAAUUAGUCACCUGGUCUCUCUAACCUAUACACACGGCAUGCUAAUGCCAAGCCAACAAU